GCGGGGAUAGCUCAGUUGGGUGAGCGUCAGACUGAAGAUCUGAAGGUCGCGAGUUCGAUCCACGCUCACCGCA
rfam:Physcomitrella patens subsp. patens PHYPAscaffold_70 genomic scaffold, whole genome shotgun sequence.